rnacentral:rRNA from 1 species
UGUUCCUUAAAUAGGGACUCGUAUCAACGGCAUCACGAGGGUUAUACUGUCUCCCCCAUCUAAUCAGUGAAACUGACCUCCCCGUGAAGAGGCGGGGAAUACAACUACAAGACGAGAAGACCCCAUGGAGCUUUAAACCCACUGACAACCUCUAUCCAAAUACUCCCACAUAGAUAUAAAGUAAUGUUCAUUGGUUUUAGGUUGGGGUGACCACGGAGCAAAACUAAACCUCCAUGACGAACGGAAAAUCAUCCUAAUCCAAGAGCUACCACUCUAAGAAUCAAAAAUUUGACAUAAUCUGAUCCGGUAACCGAUCAACGAACCAAGUUACCCUGGGGAUAACAGCGCAAUCCAUUUCAAGAGCCCCUAUCGACAAAUGGGUUUACGACCUCGAUGUUGGAUCAGGGUAUCCCAGUGGUGCAGCCGCUACUAAAGGUUUGUUUGUUCAACAAUUAAAAC